rnacentral:tRNA from 1 species
UUAAAUUUUAUUACUUUGGCAGAUUAGUGUGAUGAAUUUAGAAUUCAUUUAUGUAAGUUAUUUACAGGUAAUAC